AUGAAGUAUGCGCACGCCCGCGCGGACGCCGCGCACGGCCACGUCUCGCCGUCCGCGGUCCUGCUCGUCCCCCUCCUCCGCCGCGCCACGCACGCCAUGUCUGGCCACUCGCACUUCUCCUCCACCGCGCACCGCAGCCCCACCUCCACCAGCCCGCUGGCAGCCGUGACCCCGCAGCGCGCCUGCAACCUGCAGGCGGUGUUCAACAAGAUCCUGAACAUGGCGGUGGCGGGCGUGCUGGCCAAGGACCAGAUGGUGCGGCGCGUGUUUGUGCCGAGCGACAUGGAGUUCGACGGACGGCGAGGCCUUACUACUCCUGUCUGCCCCACGAGAGGGGUGCGACCGCGAGGUGCGGUGCGGUGCGAUGGGUGUGGAGAGGUUGCGUCCGACCAUGUGGUGUCGUGUGGUCGAUCCGACCAGGUGGUUUGGGGUGGAGCUGCAUGGAGUGAGAUGCGGACAACAAUAGGGCGAAGAAGCAUGCGAUCGAGGAGUGCAAGCAGCGGCGCUCCUUUGCAAUGGGUUGUGGCUGCAGGGGAGGGGAGGCAGCCAACGACGGGGAGAAUGAGCAGGUCGUUGAGGAGUGCAAGCAGCAGGAGCAGUCAGACCUCCAAGAUAGGUGAGCCUGAUUUCUUCUGCAACUCUUCCACCACAGUUAUCUGCCGCCACCACCCGUCCCCGGCUCCGCCGCCCGUCCCUCCCUCCACCGCGCCGCCGCAGCUGGUCCCCGCCUCCACCGCACUGCCGCAGGUGGCCCUGCCUCCACCCCGCCGCCGUCGGGGCCCUUGUCCACUGCGCCCCCCACCAGUCCUCCUCCAAUGGCGCGACCGCCACCGGGCAGUCCUCCCCUGCCCUAGCACCACGGCUGCAGUUGGCAGCACCGCCGCCGGCUCCCGUCUACGCAUCCGCAGCCGCUGGUCACCACUGAAGCCGGGCACCAUCUCCCCCUCUGUCCUCAACCCCCUCUGCCCCACGCCACGUACUUCAAAGGUGAAGAAUUUGCUUCAGAACAGGGAGGAGUACCUGAGAUGGUGGGCAGCCGUUUUCAGGAUGCCCCAGAAACAGGUCAAGGAAUUAAACAGAAGAGGAAGAAUUGCAAGGCAGCAUGAUGUUGGUGAUCUAGCAUGUAUACUCCAUAAAGCAAGUUUGGAUAAUAUGGUUGUUCUACAAGGCAAAAUUUCAUUUUUGAUUGAUGCUCGUUAG
rnacentral:rRNA from 1 species